rnacentral:rRNA from 1 species
CCAGACUCCUACGGGAGGUAGCAGUGGGGAAUAUUGCACAAUGGGGGGAACCCUGAUGCAGCGACGCCGCGUGGGUGAAGGAGCACCUCGGUGCGUAAAGCCCUAUCGGCAGGGAAGAAACAGGCGGUACCUGACUAAGAAGCCCCGGCUAACUACGUGCCAGCAGCCGCGGUAAUACGUAGGGGGCAAGCGUUAUCCGGAUUUACUGGGUGUAAAGGGAGCGUAGACGGCGGCGCAAGUCCGGAGUGAAAGCCCGCGGCCCAACCGUGGGACUGCUCUGGAAACUGUGCGGCUUGAGUGCGGGAGGGGCAGGCGGAAUUCCUGGUGUAGCGGUGAAAUGCGUAGAUAUCAGGAGGAACACCGGUGGCGAAGGCGGCCUGCUGGACUGCGACUGACGUUGAGGCCCGAAAGCGCGGGGAGCAAACAGGAUUAGAUCCCCCAGUA